rnacentral:lncRNA from 1 species
CCAGUGAGUCACUUGAUUUCCUGCUGCCUGCAAACUGUAGGACUCUCAGUGUCAGCACACCUGCCUGCAUGCUCCCAUGCUCCCUGCCAUAAUGAUAACUGACUGAACCUCUGAAACAGUGCAGGAAUUUGGAUUUAAAUAAAGCCAUCAAAGGCUUUGAGGCCAAAGAGUCAACAUCCAAACUUUGUUCUAAAACUUGCCCUGGUUGCUGAGUGGUGGAGAAACUGGAAGAAGGGGAGACAUGGUGAAGGUAGCAGAGGUCUUGACAGAUGUAGAACUCUCAGCUACUACCCCAGCACCAUGUCUGCCUGCACACUGCCAUGUUCCCGUCAGGAUGAUAAUGGACUAAACCUGGAACUGUAGACAGGAUCUCACUAUGUAGUACCUGGAUGUCCUGGAAUACACAAGAUUUUUUUAUCAAAGGUGAGGGAGGAGGAGCAAGACCAAGAGACUCUUGGUUCUUAGCCUACAGCUUGGGAAGUCCAAAAGAACAGUACCAGCAUCUGUUCAGCCUUUUGUGGGGAUCCUGUAACCCUCAACUCGUGGCAGAAAGUCAAGGGCAAGGGUGGGUUUGGGAGACAAAACAUGAUGGGAAUUAUCCUGAACAGAAAAGCAAAUGCAUGCUAACUAGUCCCAUAUCUUACAAAAGUAAGAGUUCACUUGGGGGCAGCUCCCUUGAUUCAAAUGCUUCUUAGAGGAUUCACCACCUCUCAGCACCAUUCUAUUGGGUGGGAAUCAAGCCUCAACAUCAGCUUCAGACCACUACAUGUGGAUACGCCAAGGUAUAACCCAUGUAUAUAUUCAGGGGCACUUUGUGUGGCC